AUGGUGUGUUUCGUGCAGUUUCAUUGCAGUUUGACAGCAUCGGCAGUAUCAUAAAAACGACAGCCAUGUUUAGAUUUGGGCCGAGCGGUGUACUGAAAGACCAGUAUUAAACACUGUGGAAAAGACACAGCUGGAUGAGUUGUUUGUAUCUUAAUCAAAUAGUUAUUGAGAUAAUUUACCAUAGCCGCAGGAAGUAGUUUGUGGGUGGGGUGCUGCGAGUUUUUUGCCCGCGCUGAAGAGUCAAUAUUGGUCCUCUAAUACAGGACUAGUAAAAGCCAAGUGCACUACUUUUGUGGAAAGAAAAUGCGAUCUUAUCCAGAGCAACUUACAGUAAUGAGUGGGAAUCAACCCCACAACCCAAGCAUUGAGAACUGCAUUUGCCUGAGAACUUAGUGUUGACAAAACAUGAAGCGAUUGGGCUUGGUUGUCCUUGUACUUCUCCUGAUGCUUUUGGCUGUUGAGGCUGAUGAUGCAGAGCUGUAAUAUUGGACGUGUGGUUAUAGAGGACUCUGCAGACGGUUCUGUUAUGCCCAAGAAUAUAUUGUUGGACACUUUGGUUGUCCUCGCAGAUACAGGUGCUGUGUUGUGCGGUUUUAGCAGUGACUGACAGUCUAAUGAUACCUGUAACAGAACAUCACAGGCUGAUGAUUGGUCUGCUUCUUUGACAUGGAUUCUUUUGGACAAAGCCUACUGUGAUCAAAUUGCAAGCCUCUUGGUAAACGACAAUGACAAUGUUUUGGGGGAAUUUUUAGCUGAUGUCGAGAUCAAUUGUUAUGCAGGUGAAUGAGGACCCAAAAGCGACUUGGCGAAAACAGAGUCUUUAAUCCAGUAAAGUAAAAUACAAUCAAAAAACACAAUUUCCACUCGUAAUGACGAGAACAGACUGGAGACU